rnacentral:lncRNA from 1 species
ACAGAAGGUUAGAGAUGUGUGCGAGGAACGGCCAGGUCCAGCGUCUCCUCGUUGCUGCCCCUUGAGCCCGGGACCGGCGCCAAUGCGCGCCCGGGUUCUUGGGUUCUUUCGUCCCGCAGACCUGCCUUGGUGUGGCGUCCCUGGGCCGUAGCUUCCGAAGGCUGCAGCCGACCUGGUCGGGGUCCUCUAGCCCGCCUUCCCCUUCCCCCAUUGACAGAUGGAGAAACUGAGGCCCAGGCCAAAAAAUAUCUCACUAGAGGGCUCACCGCCAUUUCCUGGAAAAAUUGGGGCUGGGACUCAACGGACGCUCGUCCAGCAGCAGCGCGGAGCUCCGAAGUAAAGGCGCCCGUGACCGAGUGCUUUGUCCUUACAAGCGUGGUGUUCUUGAAUGCUUCCAGGCGCCUUAUGAGGCCCCCGAUGUACAAUCUGUGCUUAACUAAACCCCACUGUCUUCCAGGGUCAGGUUGGCCAUCCGCAGGCGUAGUUGCUAGGAAGGUUUGACAGAUGUCCGCCUGUUGAUUCAGACGUUCCCAGGAUUUGGAGCAAGAAGAGCAAGGAAGGCCAGGCGCGGUGGCUCACGUUUGUAAUCCCAGCACUUUGGGAGGCCGAGGCGGGCGGAUCACGAGGUCAGGAGUUCGAGACCAGCCUGGCCAGCAUGGUGAAACCCCGUCUCUACUAAAAAUACAAAAGAAAAUUAGCCGGGUGUGGUGGCACAUGCCUGUAGUCCCACCUACUUGGGAGGCUGAGGCAGGAGAAUUGUUUGACCUGGCAGGCGGAGGUUGCAGUGAGCCGAGAUUGCGCCACUGCACUCCAGUCUGGGCGACAGAGCGAGACUCUGUCUCAGAAAAAAAAAAGAGCAAGGAGGUGUUGAAAAUGGGUUUCCUGGCUGGGCGUGGUGGCUCACGCUUGUAAUCCCAGCACUUUGGGAAGCUGAGGUGGGCGGAUCACUUGAGGUCAGGAGUUUGAGACCAGCCUGGCCAACAUGGUGAAACACCGUCUCCACUAAAAAUAGAAAAAUUAACUGGGUGUGGUGGAGGGCGCCUGUAAUCCCAGCUAAUCAGGAAGCUGAGACAGGAGGAUCGCUUGAACCCAGGAGGCGGAGGUUGCAGUGAGCCGAGAUUGCUCCAUUGCACUCCAGCCUGGGCGAUAGAGUGAGACUCAGCCUCAAAAAAAAAAAAAAAAAAAAAUUCGCCAGGUGUGGUGGUGUGCGCCUAUAAUCCCAGCUACUCAGGAGGCAGAGGCACAAGAAUGGCUUGAAUCACUUGAACCUGGGAGGCAGAGGUUACAAUGAGCCGAGAUGGCACCACUGCACUCCAGCCUGGGCGACAGAGCGAGACUCCGACUUCCCAUCUUAAAAAAAAAAAAAAAAAAAAAAAAGAAGUGUAAAGAUGUGAUUAUGUGGCAGGGGGUAAGGGUUAAAAAGAAAACAAGAACAAGUUUUCCUCUGCUUAGCCAGCUUACUUCAAGGACAGUUAUAACACUGAAAAGUCGAGGCCAAAGGAAUGGGCUCCAGACAGCCUCCUCCGGAGCAAAGUUGAAAAGAAAAAUUCCUUUACUGUCUCUCCUUUUCUGAACCAUUAAAUAUGACUGUUUGCCAAUGGUUGUAUUUAGUAAGAUUUGUAGACUCUGUUUUUCUUUUGACACAGCUGCAAGGCCAACAGCUGUGCAAAGCCACAAGUUAUGCUAAGUCAGCAGUUAUGCUAUAGAUUACAUGACCUGUGACUGUAUCAUUAACUGCUUUUGUUUUGCUUCUGUAAGUUUGCCUAUAAAAACCACACUCAGUCUUUGUUCAAUGGUCAGCUUUUCAGAUACAAAUCCACUGAGCCGGUGUACAUCUAAAUAAAUCCUCCUGUUUCCCGUGU